UACAGGGGGGGCAAGCGUUGUUCGGAAUUACUGGGCGUAAAGGGCCAGUAGGCGGCCAACUAAGUCCGACGUGAAAUCCCCAGGCUUAACCUGGGAACUGCGUCGGAUACUGGAUGGCUUGAAUUCGGGAGAGGGAUGCAGAAUUCCAGGUGUAGCGGUGAAAUGCGUAGAUAUCGGGAGGAACACCGGUGGCGAAGGCGGCCCCCUGGUUGGAUACUGACGCUGAGACGCGAAAGCGUGGGGAGCAAACAGG
rnacentral:rRNA from 1 species